ACUGGGCAUGAUGCUUGUGUCUGUAGUCCUGGCUACUUGGAAGGCCGAGGUGGGAGAUUGCUGGAGCCCACCCAUUGUGGGCUGUAGUAUGCAGUGCUAAUCCUGUGUGUACACUGAGUUCGGCAUCAAUAUGGUGACCUGGGAGCUAGGGACCACCAGCUUGCCUAAGGAAGGGUGAACCCGUCCAACCUGGAAACAGCAGUCAGAACUCCUGUGCUGAUUAGCAGUGGGGAGCAUGGCUGUAAGUAGCCACUGCCCUCCAGCCUAGCAGCACAGCCAGACCUGUCUCUU
rnacentral:SRP_RNA from 1 species